GGGGGGGGGGGGGGGGGGGGGGGGGGGGGCGGGGGGGGGGGAGAGAGGAGGGGGUUGCGCGGCGGGCGUUAGCGGCGGACGGGGGAGUAACACGUGGAUAACCUACCUAUAAGCCUGGGAUCACUGCGGGAAACCGGAGCUAAUACCGGAGAAUAUAUUGAACCGCAAGGGUCAGUAGUGCACGACGGGUUUGCUGUCACUUAUAGAUGGAGCCGAGCCGCAUUAGCUAGUUGGUAAGGUAACGGCUUACCACGGCAACGAUGCGUAGCCGACCUGAGAGGGUGAUCGGCCACACUGGACCUGAGACACGUUCCAGACUCCUACGGGAGGCAGCAGUAGGGACUCUUCCGCAAUGGGCGAAAGCCUGACGGAGCAACGCCGCGUGAGUGAUGAAGGUCUUCGGAUCGUAAAACUCUGUUAUUAGGGAAGAACAAAUGUGUAAGUAACUAUGCACGUCUUGACGGUACCUAAUCAGAAAGCCACGGCUAACUACGUG
rnacentral:rRNA from 1 species